GGUUAAGCGACUAAGCGUACACGGUGGAUGCCCUGGCAGUCAGAGGCGAUGAAGGACGUGCUAAUCUGCGAUAAGCGUCGGUAAGGUGAUAUGAACCGUUAUAACCGGCGAUUUCCGAAUGGGGAAACCCAGUGUGUUUCGACACACUAUCAUUAACUGAAUCCAUAGGUUAAUGAGGCGAACCGGGGGAACUGAAACAUCUAAGUACCCCGAGGAAAAGAAAUCAACCGAGAUUCCCCCAGUAGCGGCGAGCGAACGGGGAGCAGCCCAGAGCCUGAAUCAGUGUGUGUGUUAGUGGAAGCGUCUGGAAAGGCGCGCGAUACAGGGUGACAGCCCCGUACACAAAAAUGCACAUGCUGUGAGCUCGAUGAGUAGGGCGGGACACGUGGUAUCCUGUCUGAAUAUGGGGGGACCAUCCUCCAAGGCUAAAUACUCCUGACUGACCGAUAGUGAACCAGUACCGUGAGGGAAAGGCGAAAAGAACCCCGGCGAGGGGAGUGAAAAAGAACCUGAAACCGUGUACGUACAAGCAGUGGGAGCACGCUUAGGCGUGUGACUGCGUACCUUUUGUAUAAUGGGUCAGCGACUUAUAUUCUGUAGCAAGGUUAACCGAAUAGGGGAGCCGAAGGGAAACCGAGUCUUAACUGGGCGUUAAGUUGCAGGGUAUAGACCCGAAACCCGGUGAUCUAGCCAUGGGCAGGUUGAAGGUUGGGUAACACUAACUGGAGGACCGAACCGACUAAUGUUGAAAAAUUAGCGGAUGACUUGUGGCUGGGGGUGAAAGGCCAAUCAAACCGGGAGAUAGCUGGUUCUCCCCGAAAGCUAUUUAGGUAGCGCCUCGUGAAUUCAUCUCCGGGGGUAGAGCACUGUUUCGGCAAGGGGGUCAUCCCGACUUACCA
rnacentral:rRNA from 1 species